GGAACCGACCGUGGACAAUUUAUUCAGCUGGAUUUUCGCCUGAGUGAGUUCCCGUUGAAGAGAUUCCUCGCUAUCUUUUGCCCGCUUCUUCUCAUCUUCCAAAUCCUUGAUGCGAUGAGAGUACGGAGACUUUGAAUCAAAACGGGCAUAGUUUGCCGAACUAUCAAGCCAACGUCUUGAUCGGUUUCUGCCGCGGCUAACUGCUCAUCGACUUCCCUAGCUUGAAUCCCUCGGAAAUAUCUGCUUUAUCCGCAGCCGACAAUGCUAUCAAGUUAUUGUCUGACUGGGACGACUGGGGUUCUGUCUGGCUCUCGGCCACGCUUGGAGCUUCCGAUAUGGGUUCAUCCAAUAUCGCGCCAGACGC